rnacentral:misc_RNA from 1 species
GAUGAAGAACGCAGCGAAAUGCGAUAAGUAAUGUGAAUUGCAGAAUUCAGUGAAUCAUCGAAUCUUUGAACGCUCAUUGCGCCAGCCAGCAAUCUGGCGGGCAUGCCUGUUCGAGCGUCAUUUCAACCCUCGAGCCCCCCCGGGGGCCUCGGUGUUGGGGGACGGCACACCAGCCGCCCCCGAAAUGCAGUGGCGACCCCGCCGCAGCCUCCCCUGCGUAGUAGCACACACCUCGCACCGGAGCGCGGAGGCGGUCACGCCGUAAAACGCCCAACUUUCUUAGAGUUGACCUCGGAUCAGGUAGGAAUACCCGCUGAACUUAAGCAUAUCAAUAAGCGGAGGA